UUUCGGACCUAGAGACCGGCGCACGGGUGCGUAACGCGUAUGCAAUCUACCUUUCACAGAGGGAUAGCCCAGAGAAAUUUGGAUUAAUACCUCAUAGUAUUAUAGAGUGGCAUCACUUUAUAAUUAAAGUCACAACGGUGAAAGAUGAGCAUGCGUCCCAUUAGCUAGUUGGUAAGGUAACGGCUUACCAAGGCAACGAUGGGUAGGGGUCCUGAGAGGGAGAUCCCCCACACUGGUACUGAGACACGGACCAGACUCCUACGGGAGGCAGCAGUGAGGAAUAUUGGACAAUGGGCGCAAGCCUGAUCCAGCCAUGCCGCGUGCAGGAUGACGGUCCUAUGGAUUGUAAACUGCUUUUGCACAGGAAGAAACAACGCUACGUGUAGCGUCUUGACGGUACUGUGAGAAUAAGGAUCGGCUAACUCCGUGCCAGCAGCCGCGGUAACACGGAGGAUCCAAGCGUUAUCCGGAAUCAUUGGGUUUAAAGGGUCCGUAGGCGGUUUAGUAAGUCAGUGGUGAAAGCCCAUCGCUCAACGGUGGAACGGCCAUUGAUACUGCUAAACUUGAAUUAUUAGGAAGUAACUAGAAUAUGUAGUGUAGCGGUGAAAUGCUUAGAGAUUACAUGGAAUACCAAUUGCGAAGGCAGGUUACUACUAAUGGAUUGACGCUGAUGGACGAAAGCGUGGGUAGCGAACAGGAUUAGAUACCCUGGUAGUCCACGCUGUAAACGAUGGAUACUAGCUGUUGGAAGCAAUUUCAGUGGCUAAGCGAAAGUGAUAAGUAUCCCACCUGGGGAGUACGUUCGCAAGAAUGAAACUCAAAGGAAUUGACGGGGGCCCGCACAAGCGGUGGAGCAUGUGGUUUAAUUCGAUGAUACGCGAGGAACCUUACCAAGGCUUAAUGUAGAUUGACCGGUUUGGAAACAGAUCUUUCGCAGACAUUUACAGUGCUGCAUGGUUGUCGUCAGCUCG
rnacentral:rRNA from 1 species